CAAGAAAUAGUUUAAUAAAAACACUAACUUUGGAAGUUAAAAUUCAGGUUACCCUGUUUCUUGA
rnacentral:tRNA from 1 species